CAGAACGAACGCUGGCGGCAGGCCUAACACAUGCAAGUCGAACGCCGUAGCAAUACGGAGUGGCAGACGGGUGAGUAACACGUGGGAACGUACCUUCGGUUCGGAAUAACUCAGGGAAACUUGAGCUAAUACCGGACACGUGCGAGAGCAGAAAGAUUUAUCGGAGAAGGAUCGGCCCGCGUUGGAUUAGGUAGUUGGUGGGGUAAUGGCCUACCAAGCCGACGAUCCAUAGCUGGUUUGAGAGGAUGAUCAGCCACACUGGGACUGAGACACGGCCCAGACUCCUACGGGAGGCAGCAGUGGGGAAUCUUAGACAAUGGGCGCAAGCCUGAUCUAGCCAUGCCGCGUGAGCAAUGAAGGCCUUAGGGUUGUAAAGCUCUUCAGGGGGGAAGAUAAUGACUGUACCCCCAGAAGAAGCCCCGGCUAACUCCGUG
rnacentral:rRNA from 1 species